CACCACGAGGCGCUGUCUACG
rnacentral:siRNA from 1 species